rnacentral:rRNA from 1 species
UAGGGAAUCUUCGGCAAUGGACGAAAGUCUGACCGAGCAACGCCGCGUGAGUGAAGAAGGUUUUCGGAUCGUAAAACUCUGUUGUUAGAGAAGAACAAGGACGUUAGUAACUGAACGUCCCCUGACGGUAUCUAACCAGAAAGCCACGGCUAACUACGUGCCAGCAGCCGCGGUAAUACGUAGGUGGCAAGCGUUGUCCGGAUUUAUUGGGCGUAAAGCGAGCGCAGGCGGUUUCUUAAGUCUGAUGUGAAAGCCCCCGGCUCAACCGGGGAGGGUCAUUGGAAACUGGGAGACUUGAGUGUAGAAGAGGAUAGUGGAAUUCCAUGUGUAGCGGUGAAAUGCGUAGAUAUAUGGAGGAACACCAGUGGCGAAGGCGGCUCUCUGGUCUGUAACUGACGCUGAGGCUCGAAAGCGUGGGGAGCAAACAGG